GACGAACGCUGGCGGCGUGCUUAACACAUGCAAGUCGAACGGAAAGGCCCUGCUUUUGUGGGGUGCUCGAGUGGCGAACGGGUGAGUAACACGUGAGUAACCUGCCCUGGACUUUGGGAUAACUUCAGGAAACUGGGGCUAAUACCGGAUAGGAGCUCCUGCUGCAUGGUGGGGGUUGGAAAGGUUCGGCGGUUGGGGAUGGACUCGCGGCUUAUCAGCUUGUUGGUGGGGUAGUGGAUUACCAAGGCUUUGACGGGUAGCCGGCCUGAGAGGGUGACCGGCCACAUUGGGACUGAGAUACGGCCCAGACUCCUACGGGAGGCAGCAGUGGGGAAUAUUGCACAAUGGGCGGAAGCCUGAUGCAGCAACGCCGCGUGCGGGAUGACGGCCUUCGGGUUGUAAACCGCUUUCGCCUGUGACGAAGAGUGAGUGACGGUAAUGGGUAAAGAAGCACCGGCUAACUACGUG
rnacentral:rRNA from 1 species